rnacentral:rRNA from 1 species
GAAACGGUGCCUUACCAUGCAGUCGAACCGGCAGCACGGACUUCGGUCUGGUGGCGAGUGGCGAACGGGUGAGUAAUGUAUCGGAACGUGCCCAGUAGCGGGGGAUAACUACGCGAAAGCGUAGCUAAUACCGCAUACGCCCUACGGGGGAAAGCAGGGGAUCGCAAGACCUUGCACUAUUGGAGCGGCCGAUAUCGGAUUAGCUAGUUGGUGGGGUAACGGCUCACCAAGGCGACGAUCCGUAGCUGGUUUGAGAGGACGACCAGCCACACUGGGACUGAGACACGGCCCAGACUCCUACGGGAGGCAGCAGUGGGGAAUUUUGGACAAUGGGGGAAACCCCUGAUCCAGCCAUCCCGCGUGUGCGAUGAAGGCCUUCGGGUUGUAAAGCACUUUUUGGCAGGAAAGAAACGUCAUGGGCUAAUACCCCGCGAAAGGGCCGCCCCCCCCCGCACCCGCAC